UGAGGAGGCGCCGCGCGCGUCUGUAGUCGGCGGGCCUCGCAGAUUUUUCGGCAAGUCUUGCGGUCUUCAAAUGUCUUUACACUUGGUGAAACCCAACAUAUUCUGCUUCUGUUUUGAAAAUGAUGAGAACAAUUACCGAAUAAAUCGGACAAUCCCAACCAGUUAUUAUUUUGAGAGAAUUCCAUACCAAAAUGUCAACUGUACAAUGGUUUUAAAAAUAAAAUUUACUUUAAAAAAAUUU